UACGUAGGGGGCAAGCGUUGUCCGGAAUCAUUGGGCGUAAAGAGCGCGUAGGCGGUCCGGUAAGUCGGUUGUGAAAACUGGGGGCUCAACCCUCAGAGGCCGACCGAUACUGUCGGGCUAGAGUCCGGAAGAGGCGAGUGGAAUUCCUGGUGUAGCGGUGAAAUGCGCAGAUAUCAGGAGGAACACCAAUGGCGAAGGCGGCUCUCUGGGACGGUACUGACGCUGAGGAGCGAAAGCGUGGGGAGCGAACAGG
rnacentral:rRNA from 1 species